rnacentral:rRNA from 1 species
GUAGAAUGACCUCUAUGUAGUGCCGUUAACCCGCAAUCAAUACAACUUUCNNCAACGGAUCUCUUGUUUCUCCCAUCNAUGAAGAACACAGCGAAAUGCUAUACAGUAAUGUGAAUUGCAGAAUUACAUUGAAUCAUCNAAUCUUUGAACGCACCUUGCUCCCCUUGUUAUUCCGAGGAGCACACCCGUUUGAGUGUCGUGAAAACCUCCACCUCCUUGGUUUCUUCUGGAUACCAAAUCAUGCUUGNACUUUGNAGGCCUUUGCUGGCACCUCUCUUUUUGAAGGCCAUCUCCUCUUAAACUAUAGAUUAGCAGGGUCCUGCUUUGCUGAUCCUCCACGUGUGAUAUAGAUGUUUCCAUGUCUUGAGUUUCAUGGCUCUGCUACACCUUUGCGUGUACCUAGCAUUCUAUACUG